UGCCCGGGCCAUCUCUCCAUCCCUGGAUAAAUUCACCCCCUCUUUCCCCGUCGGGGUUGGCAGCUCUCCCCCCGGGGGCCGGCCCACCAACACACCAAGGGGAUGGGGAUGCCGAGAACCGGGAACCAACACCCCCCGGAGCCCCGAGGCGACGCCCCGGGCCUGAAGAGCACCUCGGGGCCUUGCUGGCGGCUCGGGCCGAUCGCGGCGCCCUGGGCCGGGAGGGAACGGAGUCCCGGCGGCCGUAGGCAAUAGCUCCGGCCCGGAGACAUCUCCAGUGUCCCCCACCAACCAGCGCUGCCAAUUUCUUGUUAAAAAGACAAAUAACCUUCAGGCAGGCCUCCGAGUGCGGAUAGAGAACUGAAACCGAGGAGCACCGCAAGAGCAUCCCGCCCCCAGACCCCCUCCUGGGCCGCUCCUCCCGCACAGGUACUCACAUGGCAGCGGGCCGGGAGCGGAACCGGGCAUGGCCGGGUGGGCAUGAAGCUGCGCUCAAACCAUCCAGGGAAAUCCCAGGAAAAAA